rnacentral:pre_miRNA from 2 species
UAGGUUAUCCGUGUUGCCUUCGCUUUAUUUGUGACGAAUCAUACACGGUUGACCUAUU